rnacentral:lncRNA from 1 species
UUAAACUUACACCAUUUCGUCUUCUUUGCCCCGAUUCUGAAAUCCCAAUUUCCCUAAAUUCAGAAAUCUCCAAAUUCCCCAAAUUGGCAAGUUUUCCCCCAAAUCUCCCUGUGCAUUGCAACCCAUCUCCUUCAUCGCCUUCUCCCUGUGCAUCGCAAACCAUCCCCUCCAUCGCCUUCGCCCCGUGCAUCGCAACCCAUCUCUUCCAUUGCCUUCGCCCCAUGCAUCUGCUGCAUAGCCGUCGAGUGUCCCCUCUGCUGCGUCGCCAUCCUCUACCGCAACCAAUUGGUAAGUAUUUUCCAUUGUAACUCCUCUGCUGCAUAUUUUUGGGCUGAGAAGUUUAAUUUGACUGUGAUAAUAGUAGGCUGAGAAGUUUUUAUUUUUGAUAAGUGUUACUGAAGAUUUGAUGUCCUUCAAAUUUUUAUUUUUGAGCUUCAAAGAAAAUGUACGUGUACCUUCUGUAAUCAUUGAAAAAUAGAAG